UACCUGCAGCCCGAGUGGUGGCCGUUAUUAUUGGGCCUAAAACGUCCGUAGCCGGCUGAGUAGAUGCCUGUGUAAAUCGAACGGCUUAACCGUUCGAACUGCGGGUAGACCGCUCAGCUUGGGACCGGGAGAGUCACGAAGUACUCCGGGGGUAGAGGUGAAAUUCUGUAAUCCUCGGGGGACUACCGGUGGCGAAGGCGUCGUGAUAGAACGGUCCGACGGUGAGGACGAAGCCCGUGGGGCGCGAAAC
rnacentral:rRNA from 1 species